UGAUACUUGCUACUUUAAUUCCUAUCUCGCUACUCUUGCUACUGUUGGCGAUGCCUGUGGUCAAGCUAUUUGGCAACGCUGCGCGCUGCCUCCUUCUUCCCCAGGACACAGCCGCGGACGAGGCAUCGCCAUGGCUGCCCACAAGACGUUCCGCAUUAAGACCAAGUUGGCUAAAAAGAUGAAGCAGAACCGUCCCAUCCCGCCAUGGAUCAGGAACUGCACUGGCAACAAGAUCAGAUAUAAUGCCAAGAGGCGCCACUGGAGGAGGACCAAGCUCAAGCUGUAAACUGCUACUCCCUGGCUGUGGCAGUUGAUGCUGAAAGUCCUGUGACAACCUUGUGGCUAAAUAAAGUGGAUAAGCCUA